AGGAUAAUAGUUAAUUAUAACAUUUGAUUUGCAUUCAAAAAGUAUUGAAACUACUCAGUUUAUCUU
rnacentral:tRNA from 1 species